GACGAACGCUGGCGGCGUGCUUAACACAUGCAAGUCGAACGCUGAAGCUCAGCUUUUGUUGGGUGGAUGAGUGGCGAACGGGUGAGUAACACGUGAGUAACCUGCCCCCUUCUUUGGGAUAACGCCCGGAAACGGGUGCUAAUACUGGAUAUUCACUGGUCUUCGCAUGGGGGUUGGUGGAAAGGGUUUUUCUGGUGGGGGAUGGGCUCGCGGCCUAUCAGCUUGUUGGUGGGGUGAUGGCCUACCAAGGCUUUGACGGGUAGCCGGCCUGAGAGGGUGACCGGUCACAUUGGGACUGAGAUACGGCCCAGACUCCUACGGGAGGCAGCAGUGGGGAAUAUUGCACAAUGGGCGCAAGCCUGAUGCAGCGACGCCGCGUGAGGGAUGGAGGCCUUCGGGUUGUGAACCUCUUUCGCUCAUGGUCAAGCCGCAACAAUGGUUGUGGUGAGGGUAGUGGGUAAAGAAGCGCCGGCUAACUACGU
rnacentral:rRNA from 1 species